CCUACGGGCGGCUGCAGUAGGGAAUCUUGCGCAAUGGGCGAAAGCCUGACGCAGCCAUGCCGCGUGAAUGAUGAAGGUCUUAGGAUUGUAAAAUUCUUUCACCGGGGAAGAUAAUGACGGUACCCGGAGAAGAAGCCCCGGCUAACUUCGUGCCAGCAGCCGCGGUAAUACGAAGGGGGCUAGCGUUGCUCGGAAUUACUGGGCGUAAAGGGCGCGUAGGCGGACAGUUUAGUCAGAGGUGAAAGCCCAGGGCUCAACCUUGGAAUUGCCUUUGAUACUGGCUGUCUUGAGUUCGGGAGAGGUGAGUGGAAUGCCGAGUGUAGAGGUGAAAUUCGUAGAUAUUCGGCGGAACACCAGUGGCGAAGGCGACUCACUGGCCCGAUACUGACGCUGAGGCGCGAAAGCGUGGGGAGCAAACAGGAUUAGAUACCCCAGUAGUC
rnacentral:rRNA from 1 species